rnacentral:tRNA from 1 species
GGGCGGUUAGCUCAGCGGGAGAGCACUGCCUUCACACGGCAGGGGUCUCUGGUUCGAUCCCAGUACCGCCCACCA